AAUAUUGGUCAAUGGAGGCAACUCUGAACCAGCCACGUCGCGUGAAGGAUGACGGUACUACGGGUUGUAAACUUCUUUUAUAUAGGAAUAAAGUGAGGCAAGUGUGACUUUUUGCAUGUACUGUAGGAAUAAGGAUCGGCUAAUUCAGUGCAAGCAGCCGCGGUAAUACGGAGGAUCCAAGCGUUAUCCGGAUUUAUUGGGUUUAAAGGGGUCGCAGGCGGAAGAUUAAGUCGGGGGUGAAAUUUUGCAUCUCAACUGUAAAAGUGCCAUCGAUACUGGUUUUCUUAGAUGUGGAUGAAGUAGGCGGAAUUUGUGGUGUAGCGGUGAAAUGCAUAGAUAUCACGAGGAACUCCGAUUGCGCAGGCAGCUUACUAGGCCAUAACUGACGCUCAGGCACGAAGGCGUGGGGAUCAAAC
rnacentral:rRNA from 1 species